rnacentral:lncRNA from 1 species
CCCGCCUCUCGCUCCGCCCGCCCGGCCGGCUGCUCCUCCGCCCGCGCCGCCCGCAGCUCCGCCCGCCGCCCAAGCCUUGGCUAGGCGCGCGCGCGCACGGGGUCGGGCGCUCCCGGGCGGCGGUGGCACCACGUAGCCGCCUCCUUCCACCGCUCGCUUUAUCCCCGCCCCUUCUCGGGCCAACCCCAAGCGCCGCUGACCCCGAACGUCGCUGCGGGGUAGGUAGGGGGUGGGAGGGUGGAGGACCGCAGGCGAGAGGGAGAAGGAAGGGCGCCCGGGGAGCAGGCUGGCAGAGUGACCGGGAUUGAUGAGCGGCGCAGCUCUGGAGGGACGCGGGCGAGAGGGUCGCUCCUCGGGGAGAGGGCUGGGUGAGUGAGGACCUGCGAGCCACCCCCGACACCCCUUCCAGGGUAGCCACACUGGCGCCCCCUCCUCCACAACAGGCUUAUGUGGCUAGAGAAGAUGCGAUGCCACUGGACAGGGAAGGAAAGUCGUCGUGGACUUCGCUGAAUGGAAAAGGGGGUAGUUGGGGAAGGUGGAGAAAAGAGCCACGGGAAGUGGGAGGAAAGGAUGAAGGGAUGGGACGUUGAAAAGGAAAGCUUCCUGAAUCCCUGUGUGACUCUAACCCAACCUCCCCACCUACCGGAGAAAUGGGUUUUAUCCUAGAAAUGGGGACGAGGAAAAAGAGAUGGCUCAAGGGAGUCCUGGCCCGGGAUGCGAUCCUCGCCCUAGGGUCUAUUGCAACCACACAAACCCGGACAGCGCACGCUCCCCCCUACCCCGACAGAAUAGUGCCUAAGAAACCUGCUUGCCUCCUAACUCUAGGAAGGAAUCCACAACGGAUUCCAGGGAGGUCUUCUGGGGAAUCUGAAUUGGGUUUUUGGAUCACGAACCAUUAAGCUUUUGAACUCUGGGGAAGAAUAGAACAGGUGGCUGGAAAUUGUUUUAGAACCCUACCUGAGCAGGUGUGCUCAUUAGUUGCUUAUCCGCCCUCCUCCUGGAGCACUUUCAUAGGUGUUGGCAAAGCAGGUACCAGUAUUUCACGGAAGGAGAAGGAAGAACCGCCCAGGACUGUGUAUAAAUGUCUAUGGGAAUAUUUUUAAGGAUUCAAAAGGCUAGAAGGAGGUGAGAUCAAAAAAUUUUUCCAGCACCACCCAGUGCAACCCGAUCCUGGACACAGAAAUCUAAAAGAUGAUACUUAAAUACUUGAGUUUGAGAGCCUCUAGUUAUAAGGUUUCCUACGUAACAACCUCUCACUUUUCUCAAAAACUGGCUAGUUGACAACCGGCAGUCAAGUUUUGGCUAGUCAAGAAGCUACUUUUUCCUGCAAUAAACCACAUUUAGAGAUAGUACUGGGCUUCAGCAGGAUUGAGGCUAUAUUGAGGUCGCAAGUAUGAACGAGGUACCCACAGAGAUGGGAGGGCCAGGAGAUCCUACUCAUUCAGUACCUCAGAAGCUAUGACACGGGAUAACAGUAGCUUCAGCCCUUUGGAUGAAAUAAUCCUCACUCCCUCAAAAGUGCUCUCUACCCACUCAAAACACAGGCCAUACUACCACCAAUCUGGUAGACUUCAAAAGUAAGGUCUUUCAGCAGCAGAUUUCCUUGUUAACAGGAAGGUACUGACAAGCUUUACCUAAGCCUAUUGGAGCUAUGUUGUAAUUCUGUAUAUAAAUAGAACAGUCGCUGCAGGAAUACUGGAUGAGUCAGAAGAAAGGUCUGUCCUAAGCUGAUGUGACACAUUUCAAAAGGACCAGAAAUUAGAUGCAAUUGAUGACUGAGUUGAUCUCUAAGUGGAUUUAUCUUUGAAAUAAAAAUCAGUGGAUAUCCCAUAUACCCGACCCCACACCCUCCCCCAUUGUCAACAUCCCCAACCAAAGUAGCACAUUUGCUACAAAUAGUGAACCUACAUUGCCAGAUCAUUAUCACCCAAAGUCCAUAGUUUACAUUAGGGUUCACUCUUGGGGCUGUAUAUUCUAUAGGGUUGGACAAAUAUAGAAUAACAUGAACCCACCCUCAUAGUAUCAUAGUAUCAUACAGAGUAUUUUCACUGCCCUAAAAGUCCUCUGUACACCACCUAUUUAUCCCUUCCUCCCCCCAGUCUCUGGCAGCCACUGAAGUUUGACUGUAUCCCUGUCUCCUUAGUUUUGCCUUUUCCGGAAUGCCAUAUAUAAGGAAUCAUACAGUAUGCAGUCUUUCUUUCAAUUUUGCUGUGAAACUAAAACUGCUAAGAAAAUAAAGUCUUAAAAAGAAAAAUCAAUGGAGAAGGGAAAGCCUAUGAUAAGAGGAGAUGAAUGCCUGCUAAAGCGACCAGAAGGCUCUCAGUAAAAAGUAUUCACUAGGUAUCAAUAGAAUCUGCAAAACGAAGAGGUGCUUGAAAGAUGUGAAAGAGGAAACUUAAAGAGAAACCCAGAUGGUACAUCUCUCUUCCUGGCUAGAUAGAUGGAAUGUACAGCCAGAGGAUUGGAUGAGGUCAUCGACGGAGAGAAUGCAGAGAGAAUCCUGGGGCUCACCAACAUGAAGAAUUUGGGACAAGAAAGAAGAUCCAGCAGAGAAGACUGAAAGAAGGCAACUAAUGAAAUAGGAGAGAACCUGGAGAGCACAGAGUCUUAGAGGCCAAGAAAGUGGUUUAAUAUAAUCCGUAUCAAAGCAUUUGUGGUUUAUUUUUGUUAACUGACAAAAGGAUUCUAAAACAUACCUGAAAAGUAUAAUUCACACCUAGGAUAAUGGAUCAUUCUGUCACAUUGUUCCUUUUUCACAGCUGAUAUGAACAUGAUAUUUUCAUGACUUUGUAAAAUAAAAAUGGAAUCUUUCUAAUUUUUUUAAAAAAACUGCUUACUUAUGCAAGCCUUCUGUCUCUCACUGUAUAACCCCUCCACUUUUAUACGGGUCACACAUGUUUCUGUCACUUUCCUGGAGCCCUUGUAGCAAAUUAAUAACAUGUAGCACAUGCUUGAAGAAAAAUUUGUCUAGGACAUUUUGUUUUUGAGAUUCAUAAAUUGACUCUAUUUUACAUAAGAAUCUAUUAUGCCAUAGGAAGCUUAUUAAACCCUUGAGCAGGAACAAAUUAUUCAAUAAAUGGUGAUGAGAUGAAUGCCU